UUCAGAGAAGGGAGGAUUAUGGGUUUUCUAAUUAUAUAAGUCAGAAGUAGAAAAAGGGACAUAAACUAAGAAGGGUGCUGAGCGCUCGUCACCUGGAGGGACUUGUGCCUCUCUCAGUGGUAGGAGAGGGGCUACGUCUUCCUGCCACGGUCAUGAUUGAGAGGCAAUGGGUGGCGAGCCUACAGGGGACGUCGUCGAGGAGACAUGGGAUAACUUUAAGGGAGAAGACAGACAAGGGGAGGGGAUCCAGCGAUGGGAUCAGUCAGAUGCCUGCCUGGCCGCUCCCCGUGAGGGGACUUGGGCUCCUCUUAGCAUUGGCAGGCCGGUAUAAACUUCCGGCUCAGAUCGAGCUAUGCCUGAUGCUGCCUUAAGCCUUAUGAGGUCGCCAUGGAACCGCAGAAACUCCUGGAGGGCAGAGCUGUGUCUGCCAUCUUCAUCAUUGCAUUACCACCACCCAGCACAGUGCCUGGCACAAAAGAGUUGCUCAAUAAAUAAAUCAGGAUGAAUGGAUAAAUACAUGGAUAGGCACUUUGAACUACAGAUGAGUUUAAAUACUUUGUGUUUUUCUUAGUCAAACAUGUGCAAUUAAGCAUGUGAUAAAUGAU
rnacentral:lncRNA from 1 species